UACAGAGGUCUCAAGCGUUGUUCGGAUUCAUUGGGCGUAAAGGGUGCGUAGGCGGCGUGGCAAGUCAGAUGUGAAAUCCUAGGGCUCAACCCUGGAACUGCAUUUGAUACUGCCAUGCUAGAGUACUGGAGAGGAGACUGGAAUUUACGGUGUAGCAGUGAAAUGCGUAGAUAUCGUAAGGAAGACCGGUGGCGAAGGCGAGUCUCUGGACAGUAACUGACGCUGAGGCACGAAGGCCAGGGGAGCAAACGGG
rnacentral:misc_RNA from 1 species